GAUGAACGCUGGCGGCGUGCCUAAUACAUGCAAGUCGAGCGAACAGAUGAGGAGCUUGCUCCUCUGACGUUAGCGGCGGACGGGUGAGUAACACGUGUAUAACCUACCUAUAAGACUGGGAUAACUUCGGGAAACCGGAGCUAAUACCGGAUAAUAUAUUUAACCGCAUGGUUCAAUAGUGAAAGACGGUUUUGCUGUCACUUCUAGAUGGUUCCGCGCCGCAUUAGCUAGUUGGUAAGGUAACGGCUUACCAAGGCAACGAUGCGUAGCCGACCUGAGAGGGGGAUCGGCCACACUGGAACUGAGACACGGACAAGAGUCCUACGGGAGGCAGCAGUAGGGAAUAUUCCGCAAUGGGCGAAAGCAUGACGGAGCAACGCCGCGUGAGUGAUGAAGGUCUUAGGAUCGUAAAACUCUGUUAUUAGGGAAGAACAAAUGUGUAAGUAACUAUGCACGUAUUGACGGUAACUAAUCAGAAAGCCACGGCUAACUACGUG
rnacentral:rRNA from 1 species